AUUGAACGCUGGUGGCAGGCCUAACACAUGCAAGUCGAGCGGAUGAAGGGAGCUUGCUCCUGGAUUCAGCGGCGGACGGGUGAGUAAUGCCUAGGAAUCUGCCUGGUAGUGGGGGAUAACGUCCGGAAACGGGCGCUAAUACCGCAUACGUCCUGAGGGAGAAAGUGGGGGAUCUUCGGACCUCACGCUAUCAGAUGAGCCUAGGUCGGAUUAGCUAGUUGGUGGGGUAAAGGCCUACCAAGGCGACGAUCCGUAACUGGUCUGAGAGGAUGAUCAGUCACACUGGAACUGAGACACGGUCCAGACUCCUACGGGAGGCAGCAGUGGGGAAUAUUGGACAAUGGGCGAAAGCCUGAUCCAGCCAUGCCGCGUGUGUGAAGAGGGUCUUCGGAUUGUAAAGCACUUUAAGUUGGGAGGAAGGGCAGUAAGUUAAUACCUUGCUGUUUUGACGUUACCAACAGAAUAAGCACCGGCUAACUUCGUG
rnacentral:rRNA from 1 species